AAUAGUCGGGCUUGAUUGGGAAACAAUAACAUGGUUUAUGUGCUGCCUGCCUUUCUGGGUAAAUAGAGUUUCUAGCAUUUAUGUUAGUUACUUGGGGUUCCCCGGAUAGUUUAGUUACGUAGCCAAUUGUGGAACUUUCUUGCUAAAAUUUUUAAGAAUACUAUUUGGGUUAAACCAAUUAGUUCUUAUCAAUUAUAACGAUUAUCAAUUAACAAUCAAUUCAGAACUGGCACGGACUUGGGGAAUCCGACUGUCUAAUUAAAACAAAGCAUUGUGAUGGCCCUAGCGGGUGUUGACACAAUGUGAUUUCUGCCCAGUGCUCUGAAUGUCAAAGUGAAGAAAUUCAAGUAAGCGCGGGUCAACGGCGGGAGUAACUAUGACUCUCUUAAGGUAGCCAAAUGCCUCGUCAUCUAAUUAGUGACGCGCAUGAAUGGAUUAACGAGAUUCCUACUGUCCCUAUCUACUAUCUAGCGAAACCACAGCCAAGGGAACGGGCUUGGAAUAAUUAGCGGGGAAAGAAGACCCUUUUGAGCUUGACUCUAAUCUGGCAGUGUAAGGAGACAUAAGAGGUGUAGAAUAAGUGGGAGAUAUUAGACCUCGGUUUGGUAUCGUCAAUGAAAUACCACUACUCUUAUUGUUUCCUUACUUACUUGAUUAAAUGGAACGUGUAUCAUUUCCUAGCCAUUAUACGGAUAUAUUUAUUAUAUCUUAUGGUAUUGGGUUUUGAUGCAAGCUUCUUGAUCAAAGUAUCACGAGUUUGUUAUAUAAUCGCAAACAAAUUCUUUAAUAAAACGAUGCAUUUAUGUAUUUUUGAUUGAAAAUUUGGUAUACUCCAUUACUCAGGUAUGAUCCAUUCAAGGACAUUGCCAGGUAGGAGUUGACUGGGGCGGUACAUCUCUCAAUAAAACGGAGUGUCCCAGGCAGCUCAUGCGGAAGAACCCCACUAAAGCAAAGGCAAUGCUGACUGAUCUCGUGUUCAGUAACACAAGGACAGCAAAGCUCGCUAUCGAUCUUUUGUUAAGAGUUUUUACAGAGUGUCCGAAAGU
rnacentral:ncRNA from 1 species